rnacentral:rRNA from 1 species
GUAAUAUAUAGAUAACGUGCCUCUUAGUCUGGGAUAGCCAUUGGAAACGAUGAUUAAUACCGGAUACUCCUUCUAACUCUAAUGUUAGUCGGGAAAGUUUUUCGCUAAGAGAUCGGUCUAUAUCCCAUCAGUUAGUUGGUAAGGUAACGGCUUACCAAGGCAAUGACGGGUAGCGGGUUUGAGAGGAUGAUCCGCCACACUGGUACUGAGACACGGACCAGACUCCUACGGGAGGCAGCAGUGAGGAAUAUUGCACAAUGGGGGAAACCCUGAUGCAGCAACGCCGCGUGGAGGAUGACGCAUUUCGGUGUGUAAACUCCUUUUAUAAGAGAAGAAAAUGACGGUAUCUUAUGAAUAAGUCCCGGCUAACUCCGUGCCAGCAGCCGCGGUAAUACGGAGGGGACAAGCGUUAUUCGGAAUCACUGGGCGUAAAGGACGCGUAGGCGGGUUAUUAAGUCGGGUGUGAAAUCCAAUGGCUCAACCAUUGAACUGCAUUCGAAACUGGUGACCUAGAGUAUGGAAGGGGCAGGUGGAAUUAGUGGUGUAGGGGUAAAAUCCGUAGAUAUCACUAGGAAUACCGAAAGCGAAGGCGACCUGCUGGGACAUUACUGACGCUGAGGCGUGAAAGCGUGGGGAGCAAACAGGAUUAGAUACCCUGGUAGUCCACGCCCUAAACGAUGAAUGCUAGUCGUCGGGGAGCUUGUCUCUUCGGUGAUGCACUUAACAGAUUAAGCAUUCCGCCUGGGGAGUACGGUCGCAAGAUUAAAACUCAAAGGAAUAGACGGGGACCCGCACAAGUGGUGGAGCAUGUGGUUUAAUUCGAAGAUACGCGAAGAACCUUACCUAGCCUUGACAUUGAUUGAAUCUUUCAGAGAUGAGAGAGUGCCUUUCGGGGAACAUGAAAACAGGUGCUGCACGGCUGUCGUCAGCUCGUGUCGUGAGAUGUUGGGUUAAGUCCCGCAACGAGCGC